GUGAGGAAUAUUGGUCAAUGGGCGAGAGCCUGAACCAGCCAAGUCGCGUGAAGGAAGAAGGAUCUAUGGUUCGUAAACUUCUUUUGCAGGGGAAUAAAGUGCAGGACGUGUCCUGUUUUGUAUGUACCCUGAGAAUAAGGAUCGGCUAACUACGUGCCAGCAGCAGCGGUAAUACGGAGGAUCCGAGCGUUAUCCGGAUUUAUUGGGGUUAAAGGGUGCGUAGGUGGUUUGAUAAGUCAGCGGUGAAAGUUUGCAGCUUAACUGUAAAAAUGCCGUUGAAACUGUCGGACUUGAGUGUAAAUGAGGUAGGCGGAAUGCGUGGUGUAGCGGUGAAAUGCAUAGAUAUCACGCAGAACUCCGAUUGCGAAGGCAGCUUACUAAGCUACAACUGACACUGAAGCACGAAAGCGUGGGGAUCAAACAGGAUUAGAAACCCUGGUAGUCC
rnacentral:rRNA from 1 species